GCAACAGCAGGAGAAACCGUGAGCUCCCAAGAGGGCAAGGGUCUCUGAUGCAUGUGUUCCAGCCUCCAGGGGAGACAUUUCCCACCUGUCACACCCCUCCAGCACAGGUUCACGGUUUUCCUCACUCUGAGGCACAUGGAGUGUAACAACUUGCCUAAGGCUACCGCCUGCUCAGGCCACCGAGUCCUGUCUACCCCGGAUUCUAAGGAUCGUGAUCGUGCUUGGUGCACAAGACUCAUGACACACAGAAGCCCUUAACAUGCCGUACACGUGGUUGUGUGUGUUCAUGCACAGAUGCAUAGCCCAUCUUUGAGGAUAUAGGCACUGACCUGGCAGGAGAGCAGCCACCAUGGCCAGAGAGAGCAGACAGGCCUGAGGAGCCACUGUGACCAACCCGUCUGAGCGUCCUCACUGACACACGUCUUCUCGGGAGCUGUGGUGAGGCCUGUGGACUCUACAAGCAGUGUGGCAGCUGGCUGAGCUGGGAGCUCCUACCCCAGCAGCCUGGCACAGGACAAAAGAUGCAGGCACUGGAGACCUGGCUUCUAACCCUACUCCUGCCACUUCCUCGUAGUGUGCCUUGGGGCGAUCAAUUAAAGACUCGCAACCUGCGAUGGGUAAUUUCAAAAUAUGUCCACAAAUUCUCUGAUGUUCUUUGCUUCAGGAGGUGGAGCCCAGUUCCCCACCAUUUGAGUGUGCACCAGGCUUAGUGACUUGCUUGUAACUAAUAGAAAAAGACAGAAGUGACAGUGUGCAGCUUCAGAGACCUAGUCAUAAAAGGCACUGUGGCUUCCUGCCUGGCCCCUCUCUUGCCCUUGGACCACCCGCUCUGGAGAAGCUAGCUGCCACAUCACGAAGAAAGGCCUGCCUGUGAAGAACUGAAGCUUCCAUCCAACAAACAUAUGAGGGCGCCAUAUUGGAAUGGAUCCUCCAGCUGCCCACAACCCCAACCUCAUGGGAAACCUUGAAGGGGAACCUCCUGAUUACACCGCCCCUGAAUUCUUGACCCAGGGAAAUGCUAAAAUGGCUCAUUGACUUGUUAUUUGCCUGAAGCUCACUCUCUCAAGGGCACCUCUGGAGUCCAGGGGCUAGAAUGCUAUGCAGCACCCAAGAGACAUUUGAUGAACAUUUGUGGACAAUGUGGCUUUUUGAACAUCAAUCAAAGUCCCUUUUGAAAGCUUUGGGGGCAGCUUUCUUUACAGAGAGCCACUCUGGAAAACCCUGCCAUAAAGGGAAUAAAUGACCUUCAGGCUUUCUAAUAGUGUAUUAUACCUGCAUCAUGAUCAUUUUAAUCCAGGAAGGGUCUUGUUAGGGAUUUUAAAACAAACACUGGUGUUCUAGG